GCAGCCAUGCCGCGUGUAUGAAGAAGGCCUUCGGGUUGUAAAGUACUUUCAGUUGUGAGGAAGGGGGUGUAGUUAAUAGCUGCGUUGCUUGACGUUAGCAACAGAAGAAGCACCGGCUAACUCCGU
rnacentral:rRNA from 1 species